GAUGAACGCUGGCGGCGUGCUUAACACAUGCAAGUCGAACGGAAAGGCCCAAGCUUGCUUGGGUACUCGAGUGGCGAACGGGUGAGUAACACGUGGGUGAUCUGCCCUGCACUUCGGGAUAAGCCUGGGAAACUGGGUCUAAUACCGGAUAGGACGAUGGUUUGGAUGCCAUUGUGGAAAGUUUUUUCGGUGUGGGAUGAGCUCGCGGCCUAUCAGCUUGUUGGUGGGGUAAUGGCCUACCAAGGCGUCGACGGGUAGCCGGCCUGAGAGGGUGUACGGACACAUUGGGACUGAGAUACGGCCCAGACUCCUACGGGAGGCAGCAGUGGGGAAUAUUGCACAAUGGGCGCAAGCCUGAUGCAGCGACGACGCGUGGGGGAUGACGGCCUUCGGGUUGUAAACUCCUUUCGCUAGGGACGAAGCGUUUUUGUGACGGUACCUGGAGAAGAAGCACCGGCUAACUACGUG
rnacentral:rRNA from 1 species